rnacentral:rRNA from 1 species
AGCGAACGCUGGCGGCAGGCCUAAUACAUGCAAGUCGAGCGGUCACUUCGGUGGCAGCGGCGGACGGGUGAGUAACGCGUGGGAAUAUGCCCUUUGGUACGGAACAACUGAGGGAAACUUCAGCUAAUACCGUAUGUGCCCUUCGGGGAAAGGAUUUAUCGCCAUUGGAGUAGCCCGCGUUGGAUUAGCUAGUUGGUGGGGUAAAGGCCCACCAAGGCGACGAUCCAUAGCUGGUCNGAGAGGAUGAUCAGCCACACUGGGACUGAGACACGGCCCAGACUCCUACGGGAGGCAGCAGUAGGGAAUCUUGCGCAAUGGGCGAAAGCCUGACGCAGCCAUGCCGCGUGAAUGAUGAAGGUCUUAGGAUUGUAAAUUCUUUCACCGGGGAAGAUAAUGACGGUACCGGAGAAGAAGCCCCGCUAACUUCGUGCCAGCAGCCGCCG